rnacentral:tRNA from 1 species
GGCUUGGUAGCUCGGUUGAUUAGAGCGUCGUGUUGAUAUCACAAGUUUCGUGAGUUCGAUCCUCACCCAAGCCA